rnacentral:lncRNA from 1 species
GAGAGACCGGUUCCCGAGAGCUGCAUUCUCGGGACUUAGCCAAAUUUGGCUAAAUCUCGCCAGGCCAACGUUCGGGAACCGGUCCCUGCCCACCAGGGACCGGUCUCAUCAGAGACCUCCGCAACCCAGCCUGAUGGAACCGGUCCCUCCCUGCCAGGGACCGGUCCCCGAGAGCAUUUCUGCUCCAGUGCAAGUUUUGCACUGGGUGCUCUCGCGGGCCCUUCCUUAAUGCACUUUAUGCACUAUAAACGCCUUCGGACUUUCCGAAGCCUAUGCACUCGACAACUAGUCGAUUCUGG